rnacentral:SRP_RNA from 1 species
GCCGGGCGUGGUGGUGCGCGCCUGUAAUCCCAGCUACUCGGGAGGCUGAGGCAGGAGAAUUGCUUGAACCCAGGAGGUGGAGGUUGUGGUGAGCUGAGAUCCCACCACUGCACUCCAGCCGGGGCAACAGAGCAAGACUCUGUCUCAA